rnacentral:rRNA from 1 species
CAGUCGCCGCGGUAAUACAGAGGGUGCGAGCGUUAAUCGGAUUUACUGGGCGUAAAGCGUGCGUAGGCGGCUAAUUGAGUCGGAUGUGAAAUCCCCGAGCUUAACUUGGGAAUUGCAUUCGAUACUGGUUAGCUAGAGUGUGGGAGAGGAUGGUAGAAUUCCAGGUGUAGCGGUGAAAUGCGUAGAGAUCUGGAGGAAUACCGAUGGCGAAGGCAGCCAUCUGGCCUAAUACUGACGCUGAGGUACGAAAGCAUGGGGAGCAAACAGGAUUAGAUACCCGUGUAGUCCCUGUCUCUUAUAC